rnacentral:lncRNA from 1 species
UUAUUCAUGAGAAACAGAGAGAGGCAGAAACACAGACAGAGAGAGAGGCAGGCUCCAUGCAGGGAGCCUGAUGUAGGACUCGAUCCAAUCCUGAGUCUACAGGAUCACACCAUGGACCAAAGGCAGGCACUUAACCACUGAGCCACCCAGGUGUCCCCAUUUUGAACAUCUUAAAGGAAGGUAGAAAUUUGAAAUAUCACCUCUGAAAUGAUAGUCUCCUCUAGUUCCAAACAGAUCUUUUUAAAAAAUAUUUUUAAGAUUUUACUUAUUUAUUCAUGAGACACACAGAGAGAGGCAGAGACAUAGGCAGAGGGAGAAGCAGGCUCCAUGCAAGAAGCCUGAUGCGGGACUGGAUCCCUGGACCAGGAUCACACCCUGAGCCAAAGGCAGAUGCUCAGCUGCUGAGCCACCCAGAUGUCCCAAAACAGAUGUUUAUCAAGCCUCAGUUUAAAACUAAAUAUUAGUUCUUAAGAAAUGCAGGGAAGAGAAGAACAUGUUAAAUGAAACUAUAUAGGUGCAAUCAACAAAAUCCAAAAUGGAGAAUUUCACUGGGACAAACAACUAAUCUUUUUUUUUUCCAACCAAAAAGUGCAAGAAAAAAGGAAAUGGGUCCAAGUAAGAGAAGCCAAAGAUCUUAACAGAUACCUCAUCAAAGAAGAUAUACAGAUGUCAAAUAAGCACAUGAAAACAUGCUCCACAUCGUUAGUCAUCAGGGAAAUGCAAGUUAAAAUGGCAAUAGGACACCAAUACAUACCUAUUUGUAUGGCCAGAUUCCAGAACUCCAACACCAGCAAAUGCUGGCAAGGAUAUGAGGCAACAGGGACUCUCACUCAUUGCUAGUGGGAUGCCAAAUGGUACAUAUACUUUGGAAGAGCAUUUCGUGGUUUCUUAUAGAACUAAGCAUAUUCUUCCCAAAUGGUCCAGCAAUCACACUACUUGGUAUUUACCCAAAGGAGUUGAAAACUUAUGUCUACUCAAAAACAUAAACACAAAUGUUUAUAGCAGCUUUAUUAAAAAAUGCUGCAACUUGGAAGCAAUCACAAUGUCCUUUGGUAGGUAAAUAAAUAAACUGUAGUCCACCCAAACAGUGGAAUAUAAUUCUAUACUAAAAAGAAAUGAGCUUUCUCAUUUCUCUUUAUGUUUCAUAAGACAUAAAGACAUAAAGGAACUUUAUUAUUUUUUAAAGACUUAUUUACUUGAGAGAGAGAGAAAGAGCUUGAGAGAGAGAGAGCAGGAGUGGGAGGGGAAAAGGGAGGGGGAAAGAGAGUCUCAAGCUGACUCCUCACUGAGCAUAGAGCCCAUUGCAGGGUUUGAUUCCAAUACCUUGAGAUCAUGACCUGAGCUGACAUCAAUAGUUGGAGGCUUAACCAACUACACCAUCCAAGCACCCCGACAUGGAAGAACUUUAAAUGUAAUUACGUAGUGAGAGAAGCCAAUUUGAAAAGGCUACAUAUUGCAUGAUUCCAACACUAGGACACUCUGGAAAAGAUAAAACAUGGAGAUAGUUGGUGAUCAGUGGUGGUCAAAUGUUAGGGCUAGGGAUGUUGAAUAAGCAGAGCACAAAGGAUUUUUAAGGCAGUAAAAAUACCCUGUAUGAUACCAUUAUGAUAUAUGUCAUUAUACAUUUGUUAAAAUCCUUAGAAUGUACUCCAUCAAGAGUAAACUCUAAGGUAAAUAAUGGGCUUCAGUGAUUUAUGUGUUCAUAAAUAGUUAAUAAAUAGUAAUAACUAUACUAUUCUGAUAGGGAUAUCAAUAAUGGGGGAGCCUGAGUCUAUGGGAGCUGGAGGUAUAUGGGAAAUCUCUAUAUCUUCCUCUCAAUUUCAUUGUAGCCAUGAGCUUCCAUUAUGUAGAAAAAUGUGGUCCAUAUGCCUUCUUUAUUUUCACUGUGUUCCUCUAUCCUAUUCAUGAUUUGUAGAAGACAGAAUUAUAACCCUCAAAGAUGCCCACCCCAUCAUCCUCAGAAAAUUUUAAGUAUGUUAAGUUACAAGGCAAAAGAGACUUUCAAAUUUAAUUCAAGAUCUUAAAGUAGGGAGAUAAUCUUGGAUUAUUUGUGCCCAAUACAAUUAUAUGAGCCCUUAAAAGCAGAAACUCUUCUCUAGCUGGAGAGAGAAAGGAUGCUGCAGAAGUGAGAAAGUCUUAAAGUGUAAGAAGGGAUCAUGUGGCAUUGCUGGUUUGGAGAUAUGGCUGGUGAAAGAAAUAAUUCCUGGAGGGAGAAAGUGGCCUGAAAAAGCUGAGAGAGGUUCCCAGAGGCCAGAGACUUCAGAGAAGAGCCCAGGCUGGCAAACACUUGAUCUGUCUUGUGAGAGACCAAAAGCAGAGUUCAGCCAAGUCCAUCUGGACUUCCAACUGGCUGAACUGUGAGCUAAUAAGUUCGCAUUGUUCAAAGUCACCAAGUUUGUGGUAAUUUAUUACAGCAGAAAUAGAAAACGAAUACAUAACUGUUAACUACUUUGAAGUCUCUUUAGACCAGACCUUCUAUGAAUUCACCUUUGGCAUCUGGCAGGGAAAAGUCAGUCAAAUUGACAAUAGAGAAAGGGGUCAUUGUACCUCCUGAGUGCUAAUGACAAACUCUGAAGCGAUAUGCUUCCCGUACACCCACCCAGCUCUGACCAGUCUCAGGAGGCCAAAGAUCCCAGACAACAUGGACAGCUGGACAAUUCUUCAAAUCUGACAGACUUUAGCAGAAGUGGACCUUGGGCUACUUUCUUAAGCCAACAAUGAUGUCAGAAAGAAUGAUCAGGACAUGAAGUAGCUUCAGGAUUAAAUAACUAUGCUAACAAGCCUAAGAUUUUAUAAUUUUCUUUUUCUUUUCAUUGGUUAUGGUAUACCUAUAUCCUAUGCUCUACCUUAUAUGGAUCAGCAGGCAUAGGGGUGAUUUGUAGAGCUGACCCUGGACACACUGAACUGAUCUCUGAGGUUUUCAUUUUUGUUUUAAAGGUUUUAUUUAUUUAUUUAUUCAUGACAGACAUACACACACAGAGAGAGGCAGAGACAGAGGCAGAGGGAGAAGCAGGCUCUAUGCAGGGAACCUGAUGUGGGACUCGAUCCCAGGACUCCAGGAUCACACCCUGAGCUGAAGGCAGACACUCAACCAUUCUGUCACCCAGGAGCCCCUGAGGUUUUCUAUUCCAGGCAGUGGCUGUGACCAACCCUUUGCUCUGCCCUAGAUCUCAGGAUCCAUUAGAAGAUACCUAUCAUCACCUUAGCGUACUAUGUAAAUUAACUUUUCCUUACCUAAGAGAAGUCUGACAGCAUCUAAUUGCAGGAAGGAGAUGAAGGUUCAGAACAGAAUAGCCAGAUAUUGAUUGCCUCUCUUCCACUGAGGACCAUUGCAUCACUGUAAGAGGAAAGCCCUGAGUGAGGGAUAAGAUUCAUACCUGGACAAGAUAUUGUCAAUCUUGCCCCUCUGCGCUGUCUGGUUGGAAGAAGGUGUGUGUACACAAAGGAAGAAAGAAAAUAUGUAUAUAUAGUGUGUAUAAAUACUCCACUGAUAUAAUUUGUCAAAGACAUAGAAAUAUAAAUGAUAGAUCGUUAGUUAUUUUGGUGGGGGAUAGUUUUGAGCCAGGGUAAUGAAACCUAUGAAUGUACUAAGCUUAGGAACUUAGGGAUUUUGUCUAAUAAGUAAUGGGGAAAUCUAUAUGU